UUUUUAGACUAGAAAGGAAAGAAGCCACUUUAAAUAAACUAAAGCAUCUUUGUACUCAUAGAUAACGUCUUACACAGCCCUUUCCAGCAUAAAUUUAGGAGGGUUCUCCAGAAAUAUUAGGAUCUGUCUCCCCCAAAACUAGAAUUCAGGGAACAAUUCAUAAGGAGCAGUCAUGCUCAAUGCUGUGGGUUUCUCAAGACAUUAAACAGGGAAGAAAUCACUGUUAUGUUCUCAUUAAAAAAACAAAAACAAAACAAAAAAAAACCUGCAUUGAAUUACAACCCUUUAGAAAGAAUGCUUAAGUUAACUUAAGUACAUCCUUGUAGACUGGCCUUGGUGUAAUAUAAAUAAGGACUUUUGGAUAAUUUAAGAGGUGAUGUGGUCAAAGAUCAUAGUUCAUUUUGUGGUUAUGCAAGAAACAUCUGUUGAACAAAUAUGCAAUUCAAGUCUUUAAAGGUAUCAACAAAUAAGACAGCCACCAACACUCCUGUGGUUCCCUGUGUAUUUCAUUAUGUGAGAUUCACAAGUGAUUCACACUAAAAUGCCAACACUCCAUUACUUUUUGCUAUAAACUCAUAAAACUGCUAUUAGCCAACAGUAAUUAGGAAUUUUAAACUUUCUGUGAAGAAAAGGCACCACAAAGUCUAUAAGAAUUUGAAAGCAGAAGUACACGAGGAAGACCUCUAUGAGGCCUGGGUUUGGGGGAAUUUUGUUUUGUUUUGUUUACUUUGUGGGAAACUUUGUAUCAUUUUACUUUGUAUCAUUGCACUUUACAAAGUGAAACUUUGUAUCCCUUUGGAGAACCACAAAGUAGGUCAAGGCUGUGUGUUGUUCUGUGCUGUGCUUGUCUGCCUGUCUAUAGACAGCAGAACACAUUUCCUGUGACUACAAUCUAUAUUGUUUCGUGCUCUGUUGGGAAUGAAGUUGAGCUCAGUGUGUUCUUUCCCGCAGGAGUUUUGUUGAUUUGGUUAUGUUGAAGAAGUAGCUGAAAUGAAAAAGUCCUUC
rnacentral:lncRNA from 1 species